rnacentral:rRNA from 1 species
GACGUAGGGCGCGAGCGUUUGUCCGGAUUUAUUGGGCGUAAAGAGCUCGUAGGUGGUUUGUCGCGUUGUUCGUGAAAUCUCACGGCUUAACUGUGAGCGUGCGGGCGAUACGGGCAGACUGGAGUACUGCAGGGGAGACUGGAAUUCCUGGUGUAGCGGUGGAAUGCGCAGAUAUCAGGAGGAACACCGGUGGCGAAGGCGGGUCUCUGGGCAGUAACUGACGCUGAGGAGCGAAAGCGUGGGGAGCAAACAGG